rnacentral:rRNA from 1 species
AUUGAACGCUGGCGGCAUGCCUUACACAUGCAAGUCGAACGGUAACAGGUCUUCGGAUGCUGACGAGUGGCGAACGGGUGAGUAAUACAUCGGAACGUGCCCGAGAGUGGGGGAUAAUGAAGCGAAAGCUUUGCUAAUACCGCAUACGAUCUCAGGAUGAAAGCAGGGGACCGCAAGGCCUUGCGCUCACGGAGCGGCCGAUGGCAGAUUAGGUAGUUGGUGGGAUAAAAGCUUACCAAGCCGACGAUCUGUAGCUGGUCUGAGAGGACGACCAGCCACACUGGGACUGAGACACGGCCCAGACUCCUACGGGAGGCAGCAGUGGGGAAUUUUGGACAAUGGGCGCAAGCCUGAUCCAGCCAUGCCGCGUGCAGGAUGAAGGCCUUCGGGUUGUAAACUGCUUUUGUACGGAACGAAAAGACUCUGGUUAAUACCUGGGGUCCAUGACGGUACCGUAAGAAUAAGCACCGGCUUACUACGUGCCAGCCGCCGCCGUAA